rnacentral:rRNA from 1 species
CCUACGGGUGGCUGCAGUGGGGAAUAUUGGACAAUGGGCGAAAGCCUGAUCCAGCAAUGCCGCGUGAGUGAUGAAGGCCUUAGGGUUGUAAAGCUCUUUUACCCGGGAUGAUAAUGACAGUACCGGGAGAAUAAGCUCCGGCUAACUCCGUGCCAGCAGCCGCGGUAAUACGGAGGGAGCUAGCGUUGUUCGGAAUUACUGGGCGUAAAGCGCACGUAGGCGGCUUUGUAAGUUAGAGGUGAAAGCCUGGAGCUUAACUCCAGAAUUGCCUUUAAGACUGCAUCGCUUGAAUCCGGGAGAGGUGAGUGGAAUUCCGAGUGUAGAGGUGAAAUUCGUAGAUAUUCGGAAGAACACCAGUGGCGAAGGCGGCUCACUGGACCGGUAUUGACGCUGAGGUGCGAAAGCGUGGGGAGCAAACAGGAUUAGAUACCCGUGUAGUCG